rnacentral:lncRNA from 1 species
AUGAUCUAAAGGUUUUUGUAAUUUUAAAGCUGCUAUAGUUAGAAGAUAACUAAACAUUAUAGGAACCAAGUUUGCUUUUUUUUAUAUAGUUAGAAGAUUUAUAUAUGCAAACAAAAAGGGUUAUAAAAUCAAAAUUCAAAAUGAAGCAAGUGGUCCAAAUGCAUUGACCACAUAAACACUUUAAUAACCAAAAUAUAGGAUUUUUGUAAGACUCUCAAGUCUGACGCACAACAGUUUAUGUUAUUUAUAGAGUUGACUGUACCAUUAAAGAUUUCAAAAAAAUUAGAUCUUUAUUAGGUUCAUUUGUUGUUACACUCCUCCUUCUAUAUAAUAAUAACCUCCACUCCUCUCUAUGAGCAGCAAUGUGAAAGAUAUGGUCCAAGUGAAGUCAAACCCAACAAAUGAGCCUAGUCAACAACCACAACACAAAAAGACAAAGACCAGAAAAGUUUCACCGGCUGAGAGUAUCUCCAACAGUAAUGUCUUGAGGAAUAUCUUAAGAUUAAAAAAAUAAAAAAUAAUAAAAAAGUAGGAGAGAGUGUAGACACAGUUUCUGGUUUGAGAAACUUUGAGAAACUGUGUUUCCACUUGUCAUUUUAUUAUUGGUCAAAUUCUUUUUUUAUAAUUUAUAAUUUAAAUAAAUAAUUUAUUUAUUAUAAAUUGAUUAAAAUAAUAUUUUUGAUACACCCACACAGUGUCACAUAAACUCCCCUCUGAUCGCGGAAGCUGUGGCGGCCCUUCUCGCGUUGCAACACGCCCGAAACCUUGGUUUCACAUAGCUCUCUCUUGCUUCUGACUCGUCUCAACUCGUCAAAGCACUUCAAUCGGAGCUUCAAGUAAAGGAACUCCACGGGAUUCAAUUCGACAUCCUUGAUCUAUGUUUAAGUUUCUCUGCAAUUUCUUUUCGCUUUAUCCCACGAUCUCAAAACACUGUAGCGGAUUCGUUGGCCAAGGAGGCCUUACUCUCCUUUGUACUGGGCCUGGCCCAACUCUAGUUUUCAAUUGAAUCAUCCAUCCUUUGCACAAAAAAAAAAAUUUGUAAGCGUUAUGAUUGCAUUGGAGAGGUUUACUUGUCCGUUCAUUUUUUGAAUUCAAAUAAUGGGAGUUCAAACACUUAGAAAUAUCAGCAUUACUAUAUAUAUACUACUAGUAUUCAUUUGUUUAACAUAUAUGGAUGGUCGAUUAUUUUUUUGUUAAUCAACGCCGAAGGGUAAAGAGCUCAUGUUUUUUUCGUGAUGUAGCCUAAAGAUUAAUAUAAGUUUAUUGCAAAAAAAAAUAAUGAAAAAUCACUUCUAUUAAUUUUGUUAACAUGCAAGGUCAAAUUACUUUUCACUCUCUAUCUCAUUUCUCGUCAUGCAUAUAUGUUCGCAAGAAUCUCCAAUGUUGAUAUAUUCACCUAUCUCAACUCAUAUUUACGUAAUGUAAUUUCUUGUAAUUUGCCAGUUCAUCUCUACUCGAAAAUGCCCAAUCCUAAUAACAUAGAGGUGUGCUGAAAAAUAAUGGGAGAAUUAGCCUCAUAAUAUUUUGCGUAAGAGUAACUUGGAAGACGUACAUUGACCAAGGUAUUAUGAUUUUUGUCAGUUAAUGGCACCCCAUUGGACCAACAAAUUAAGCAAUCCCCGCAUUCCUUUAAUUUAAUCGUAACAAUAUGUAUUAAACUAAAUAUACAUGCACAACAAUUAAUUUCAAAUACAUUAAAAAAACGCACAAGUCAUAACAAUGAUUAUUCGAGUUUAUUACUCCAUAUGCGACUAUGAACAUUUUAAUAAACUUCGACAUCAAAGAAGCUGAGACAUGCAUGCCGAAACAAGCAUUCCUCUUCUGACUUCUCUCGUCCACAAUUUUUUUUUAUUUUUUGAAUACUAAGGUGUUAAAUUAUUAUAUCUAAUUAAUUAUAGCAAAUAAUUGAAGGUAUAGGUCGAGGUUUUCAUUAAAGAAACAAUAGGCUCUCUAAUUCUAUAGAUCAAUUAUUGACCACUCGAGGAUUUACAUUAUAUUUCAUGCAUGUAUAUUUGUUAGAAGUAAACUGUUUUUUCUUGUUUUCAUUUCUAGUAAGAAAUUCUUAGUCCUAGUUUUAUUUUUGUCUUAAAAGCUUACUUGAAUAGUUAAAAAGUUCAAUACUUAUCAAAAAAAUAUUUAUACUAAUAUUACACAAAAAAAAAUAUGUAAAAAUAUAUAGUUAAAAGUUCAAACUAAAAAUAGAUGCUUUGAGAUAUUUGAGUGCACAUUACUUUAAAUUUGAUGGGAAAUCUGUAAACCAGUAAUUCUCUAUCUGCAGGAUAAUUAAUUUGUGUGUGGAGUGGUUAGAUUUCGAAGUCAACAGUUUAGUCAAAGUGCUGUCAGAAAAAUUACAUGCGGGGGCUGUAAGAAAUAAUACAUUUACAUGGAUUACAAAAACAGUUUUUAAGAAGAAAAAAAAGUGGUUUACCAAAAAAAAAAAGUGACGCUUUCAAAUUAUUUAAAAUAGAAAAGUGUUUUAUGGGUUUAUACUUUAUAGAAUAUUACACACAUUAAGAUCUAAUAUUGUUGCAUCUAAUAAUAUUUAUACUUCAGAGAUUUCAAAAUGUAGUGUUAUUUAAUCAAUAUUUUAAAUAUUUCAUAAAAUCUAGUAUUGUUCAAAAGUAUAACAUUUAAUUAAUAUUUUGAUACAUAAAUCUAUCUUUACUAUACUAUAAAUCUAGUAGAUUAGUCCAACAUCCUUAUUAAACCACCUCUCAAUGAAAAAUUAAAAUAGACCAAAAAAUUACAUCAGAAAUAUUAAAUGAUGAAUAAUAUAAGCAACUUCUUAAUGAUACACAACACCAAUCCUAGUUUUUCUAAUUUUUGUAACUUUUUUUUUUAUUUGUUUCUACCAAACUUAUCCAAAUAUAAAUUGAUAGAAACUAACAGAUAACUAAACAAUGCCACAAAAAUCUUUAUCAACCAUUGGAUUACUAGGGUGUUGGAUUUAUAUAUUUAUUGGUUAUUUAUGUAUUAGAAAAUGCAAAGCAACAUUCAAUUGUAAGUUUGUAACAUGCAUCUAACACCAAUAUCUUUUACUAAACUUUUGUAAUCCCUUAAACACUUUAAAAUGCUAAUUCAAAUUAAAAAUACAUUACACGUGAUACAUAGUUUUAAAAACAGUAGACUUAUAGCUCAUUUUCGUAACGCAUAUAUAUAUUAAAAUUUACCAAAAUUUACCAUUUCGAGUAAGAGAAUCUUUUUAAAAAUAAUUUUCAAUUUCAUUAAUUAAGAAACAAUGAAUUUAAUGAAAUGUAUAUUUUAUUAAAUUCCCAUAAAGUAUAUAUAAUUAAAAUAAUGCCACGUAAAUCUUUCUCCGCCGUUCGAUAAUCAAAUACUUUCUUGAUUAAAAAUGUAUUCAGAAAAUGUUAAACCAACAUUUAUCUAUAAACAAAGAGAGCCUCAUAUGUGUAAAAAUCUUCUUCUUAUCUUUCUUUCUUUCUUAAUAGAGUCUUUAAUUUUUACUCAAUUAGCUUUGGUAAUUUGUGAAAAAAACAACCAAUGAGAGAAGAGCAGUUUGACUGGCCACAUAGCCAAUGAAAUUAGCCAAUGGGAAAGAGAUAUAGAGACCUCGUAAGAACCGCCUCCUUUGCCAUUUGUAUCAUCUCUCUAUAAAACCACUCAACCAUCAACCUUUCUUUACAUGCAACAAAUCACUCAAAUAAUUAUUUUAUAAAGAACAAAAAAAAAAAGACGGCAGGGAAACAAUGGAACGUGGAGCUUCCUUCUCUCACUAUCAGCUACCCAAAUCCAUCUCUGUUAAUCUAAGUGGCUAUUUAUAUACUUGCCUCCAUGUAUAUUUAUAUGCUCAUGAAAAAUUGGAGACUUGCUUUUUGAUUUUUAUGAGUCUUUUCAACAAAGAAGUAGAGGCUUUCUUUCUCGAAAAUUAAUUUUAGAAUUUGUGAAGGUUUUGGGAAUGGCUCUGAAAAGACGAUUUUAUACAUGCAUGCAAGAGUUUGAUAUGUGUAUUGUCUCAUCAUGACUGAGUCAAAGUUUGAUUCAAAUAUUUCCAUGGUGUGGUAGAAAUUAAACAAAUCUUUCAUAUGUGUUCAUUGAAUAUUCCCGUGCAUGCACGAGGAAUGUUUUUGAGUAUCAAUUUUUUUGUUUUAUUUUUUUUUGUUUUUCGAUUCUAAAAACGUAGGGGAGGGGAUUUUAUUGGUUUUCUCUAUGAGUUUUCUCGUUGUAACGGUUGAGUUUUUUUUUUUUCCGUUUCAAAAUGAGAUUCUCGUUUCUCUGCCUUUAUCUAAAAGCAUCUACAGUAAAUUAAAAGACACUAAAAAACAAAAAAUUAAAAGACACUGAAAUUUUUUUAUACUUAAUAAACAUUUAAGUAUAUAUAAACAGUCUUACUAGUCCCAAGUUUUACAAUUCAAAAUUUAUUAGUAAUUGUUUUUUGGAAAAAAUCUAAGUGAAUUUUUGUCCAAAAUUUUCCUUUUACUGUGUUUAUUCUAGUGGGUGUCAUUAACUUUAAUCUUGUGAUUCUUUUAACGUUUACCAUUGGGAACCUUCACAUGAAAUAAAUGUCUACUUUAUCGAGUCAUACCUUCUUCUCCGUAAAUUAAUUGAUGUUCUUCUUCAAAAUUUGAGUUUCUGUUUUUUGUAAUAAACUAAACGAAAGAAUUUGGGAAUACGUGUUUAUACAAUUAUACUUUUAAAGUUAUAUUUAUGUCAAAAUUUAAGUAUUUCGAGAAGAGGAAAGAUCCUUUUGACAUUUUUGUUCUAUAGUUAUUACUUAUUAGAAACGUAACGGCAAGAAUCUGAACAGUACCUACUCAACGGGGUCCAUAAGUCUAGUCAACAAAUGUAGUUGACUAUGUCCAGGCCAAAAACGUACGGUUAUUAUUAACCAUAGUUAAUAGUUAAAAGUUAACCAUGGUUCGGUUAACAUUAAACCCUUUUUCCUCUUUUAACAAACCCCAAAACCUUUCUUCAGAUUUUCUCUCUGCUUUUCACAAUCGUCGUCUCAAUUUUUUCCUGCAAAAUUCCGAUCGCCAUGGAUGAUGGAGCUGUUGAGAUACGUGAAGAGCAACGUCGAUUGAUCGUGGCCCAGCAGCAACCACCAUGUAUGGCUCGUGAACAAGACCAGUACAUGCCAAUCGCAAACGUCAUAAGAAUCAUGCGUAAAAUCUUACCGUCGCACGCUAAAAUCUCUGACGACGCCAAAGAAACGAUUCAAGAAUGUGUCUCCGAGUACAUAAGCUUCGUGACCGGUGAAGCCAACGAGCGUUGCCAACGUGAGCAACGUAAGACCAUAACUGCUGAAGAUAUCCUUUGGGCUAUGAGCAAGCUUGGGUUCGAUAACUACGUGGAUCCCCUCACCGUGUUUAUUAACCGGUACCGUGAGAUAGAGACCGAUCGUGGGUCGGCACUUAGAGGUGAGCCACCGUCGUUGAGACAGGCCUAUGGAGGAAAUGGUAUUGGGUUUCACGGCCCACCACAUGGCCCAUCUCAUGGCCUACCUCCUCCUGGUCCUUAUGGUUAUGGUAUGUUGGACCAAUCCAUGGUUAUGGGAGAUGGUCGGUUCUACCAAAACGGGUCGUCGGGUCAGGACGAAUCAAGUGCUGGUGGUGGCUAUUCGUCUUCCAUUAACGGAAUGCCGGCGUAUGACCAAUAUGGUCAGUAUAAGUGAAGAUGGAAUUAUUCUUCAUUUUUAUGUAUAUCGAUUCAAAACAUGUGUUUGAAUAGAUAUUUUAUCUUUGUAUUAUCAAUAACAUUUCUAUAUAUAAUGUUGCUCCUUUUAAGGAAAAGUGUUGAGUUUCAAUACUUUUCGAGAACUGAUUUAUAUAUGCAAAUGAAAAAGUGUUUUUGGAUGAAACUCUAUGCAAUAUUACAUGAUCUAAAGGUUUUUGUAAUUUUAAAGCUGCUAUAGUUAGAAGAUAACUAAACAUUAUAGGAACCAAGUUUGCUUUUUUUUAUAUAGUUAGAAGAUUUAUAUAUGCAAACAAAAAGGGUUAUAAAAUCAAAAUUCAAAAUGAAGCAAGUGGUCCAAAUGCAUUGACCACAUAAACACUUUAAUAACCAAAAUAUAGGAUUUUUGUAAGACUCUCAAGUCUGACGCACAACAGUUUAUGUUAUUUAUAGAGUUGACUGUACCAUUAAAGAUUUCAAAAAAAUUAGAUCUUUAUUAGGUUCAUUUGUUGUUACACUCCUCCUUCUAUAUAAUAAUAACCUCCACUCCUCUCUAUGAGCAGCAAUGUGAAAGAUAUGGCCCAAGUGAAGUCAAACCCAACAAAUGAGCCUAGUCAACAACCACAACACAAAAAGACAAAGACCAGAAAAGUUUCACCGGCUGAGAGUAUCUCCAACAGUAAUGUCUUGAGGAAUAUCUUAAGAUUAAAAAAAUAAAAAAUAAUAAAAAAGUAGGAGAGAGUGUAGACACAGUUUCUGGUUUGAGAAACU